AGCUCAGUUGUUAGAGCGUGGCGCUUGCAACGCCAGGGUUGUGGGUUCCAUUCCCAC
rnacentral:tRNA from 1 species